CCUACGGGUGGCAGCAGUGGGGAAUAUUGCACAAUGGGGGAAAGCCUGAUGCAGCGAUGCCACGUGCGGGAAGAAGGAUUUCGGUAUGUAAAGCUCUAUCAGCAGGGAAGAAAAUGAAGAUACCUGAUUAAGAAGGCAAGUCUACUACGAGCAAGGAGCCGCGGAAAUACGGAGGGGGCAAGCGUUAACCGGGUUUAUUGGGGUUAAAGGGAGCGUUGACGGGAGCACAGGUCUGGAGUGAAAUGCCGGGGCUUAACCCCGGAAUUGCCUUUGAUACUGUGCAGCUAGAGGGCAGGAGAGGUAGGCGGAAUUCCUAGUGUAGCGGUGAAAUGCUUAGAGAUUAGGAGGAACACCAGUGGCGAAGGCGGCUUACUGGACUGUAACUGACGUUGAGGCUCGAAAGCGUGGGGAGCAAACAGGAUUAGAUACCCUUGUAGUC
rnacentral:rRNA from 1 species